rnacentral:rRNA from 1 species
UGAAUACGAGACGCUAAGGCGUCGAAGUAGUGUAUGUCAUACUUCCAAGAAAAGCUUGCACUGUCAUAGAUAAAAAACGCCUGUACCAUAACCGACACAGGUGGGUAGGUAGAGUAUACUAAGGGGCGCGAGAUAACUCUCUCUAAGGAACUCGGCAAAAUAACUCCGUAACUUCGGGAGAAGGAGUGCCUUAUUCUUAAGGUUGCAAUAACAAGAUCCAUCAACUGUUUAUCAAAAACACAGGUCUCCGCUAAGUCGUAAGACGAUGUAUGGGGGCUGACGCCUGCCCAGUGCCAGAAGGUUAAAGAAGCUGGUUUGCAUUUGCGAAGCUAGUAACUGAAGCCCUGGUGAACGGCGGCCGUAACAAUAACGGUCCUAAGGUAGCGAAAUUCCUUGUCGGGUAAGUUCCGACCCGCACGAAAGGCGUAAUGAUUUGGAUACUGUCUCGGAGAGGGGCUCGGUGAAAUAGACUUGUCUGUGAAGAUGCGGACUACCUGCACCAGGACAGAAAGACCCUAUGAAGCUUUACUGUAACUUGAAAUUGAAAUUGGACUUUAUUCGCGCAGUAUAGGUGGGAGGCGUUGAUUAUAAUCUUGCGAGAUUAUUGGAGCCAUUAGUGAGAUACCACUCUUGUAAUGUUAGAUUUCUAACUUUGAAUCAUUAUCUGGUCAAAGAACAGUUUCAGGCGGGCAGUUUGACUGGGGCGGUCGCCUCCCAAACGGUAACGGAGGCGUACAAAGGUUUCCUCUGAACGGUUAGAAAUCGUAUCUAGAGUGUGAAGGCAUAAGGAAGCUUGACUGUGAGACCUACAAGUCGAGCAGGGACGAAAGUCGGUCUUAGUGAUCUGACGGUACUGAGUGGAAAGGCCGUCACUCAACGGAUAAAAGUUACUCUAAGGAUAACAGGCUGAUCUCCCCCAAGAGUUCACAUCGACGGGGAGGUUUGGCACCUCGAUGUCGGCUCAUCGCAUCCUGGGGCGGUAGUACGUCCCAAGGGUUGGGCUGUUCGCCCAUGAAAGCGGUACGCGAGCUGGGUUCAGAACGUCGUGAGACAGUUCGGUCCAUAUCCGGUGUAGGCGUUAGAAUAUUGAGAGGAGCCUUCUUUAGUACGAGAGGACCGAGAAGGACAUACCUCUGGUGUACCAGUUAUCGUGCCAACGGUAGACGCUGGGUAGCUAUGUAUGGAGUGGAUAACCGCUGAAAGCAUCUAAGUGGGAAGCCCACCUCAAGAUAAGUAUUCUCAC